GAUGAACGCUGGCGGCGUGCCUAAUACAUGCAAGUCGAGCGAACAGACGAGGAGCUUGCUCCUCUGACGUUAGCGGCGGACGGGUGAGUAACACGGGGAUAACCUACCUAUAAGACUGGGAUAACUUCGGGAACCCGGGGCUAAUACCGGAUAAUAUAUUAAACCGCAUGGUUCAAUAGUGAAAGACGGUUUUGCUGUACCUUAUAGAUGGAUCCGCGCCGCAUUAGCUAGUUGGUAAGGUAACGGCUUACCAAGGCAACGAUGCGUAGCCGACCUGAGAGGGUGAUCGGCCACACUGGAACUGAGACACGGUCCAGACUCCUACGGGAGGCAGCAGUAGGGAAUCUUCCGCAAUGGGCGAAAGCCUGACGGAGCAACGCCGCGUGAGUGAUGAAGGUCUUCGGAUCGUAAAACUCUGUUAUUAGGGAAGAACAAAUGUGUAAGUAACUAUGCACGUCUUGACGGUACCUAAUCAGAAAGCCACGGCUAACUACGUG
rnacentral:rRNA from 1 species